AUUGAACGCUGGCGGCAGGCCUAACACAUGCAAGUCGAGCGGAUGAAGGGAGCUUGCUCCUGGAUUCAGCGGCGGACGGGUGAGUAAUGCCUAGGAAUCUGCCUGGUAGUGGGGGAUAACGUCCGGAAACGGGCGCUAAUACCGCAUACGUCCUGAGGGAGAAAGUGGGGGAUCUUCGGACCUCACGCUAUCAGAUGAGCCUAGGUCGGAUUAGCUAGUUGGUGGGGUAAAGGCCUACCAAGGCGACGAUCCGUAACUGGUCUGAGAGGAUGAUCAGUCACCCUGGAACUGAGACACGGUCCAGACUCCUACGGGAGGCAGCAGUGGGGAAUAUUGGACAAUGGGCGAAAGCCUGAUCCAGCCAUGCCGCGUGUGUGAAGAAGGUCUUCGGAUUGUAAAGCACUUUAAGUUGGGAGGAAGGGCAGUAAGUUAAUACCUUGCUGUUUUGACGUUACCAACAGUAUAAGCACCGGCUAACUUCGUG
rnacentral:rRNA from 1 species